rnacentral:rRNA from 1 species
CCUACGGGCGGCAGCAGUGGGGGAUAUUGCACAAUGGGGGAAACCCUGAUGCAGCGACGCCGCGUGGGUGAAGAAGUAUUUCGGUAUGUAAAGCUCUAUCAGCAGGGAAGUAGAAAUGACGGUACCUGCGUAUGAAGCACCAGCUAAAUACGUGCCAGCAGCCGCGGUAAUACGGAGGGUGCAAGCGUUAUCCGGAUUUACUGGGUGUAAAGGGAGCGCAGGCGGCACGGUAAGCCUGAUGUGAAAGCCCGCGGCCCAACCGCAGUACUGCAUUGGGAACUACCGGGCUGGAGUGCAGGAGAGGUAGGCGGAAUUCCUAGUGUAGCGGUGAAAUGCGUAGAUAUUAGGAGGAACACCAGUGGCGAAGGCAGCCUACUGGACGGUGACUGACGCUGAGGCUCGAAAGCGUGGGGAGCAAACAGGAUUAGAUACCCCUGUAGUC